UUUUUUUUUUUAUAAUUUUGUUUUAUUUUUUUAAAAUUUUUGAAAUCUUUGCUGUGUUAUGAUUACUGUAUUUGUGAGACGUUGAUGUUCAUCAUCAAUGGCGUUAGGAGGGCAUCCCUUUAUUUUUAUUUCAUUUGUUUUAUAGAAAGUUGCUAGCUUCAUGCUUGCUUUUUUUGGUUUUGCUAGUUUCCGUGACAUUAAAUCCUAAAUUUUGAUUUAUGUGAUUAUUGUUUAGAUUGGGAUGGUAUUCAUGUUGCCUCUCAAUUCUCUAGUUUUGUGCCAAAUUCUUGUAUAUGUGUGUAUUAUUUUUGAAAUCUUUACUAUGUCAUGAUUACUGUUUUUGUGAGAACUUGAUAUUUCUCAUUAACGGCGUUCGGAGGACAUCCCUUGAUUUUUAUUUCAUUUUGUUUUAUGAAAAGUUGCUACCUUUAUGCUUGCUUCUUUUGGUUUUGCUAGUUUCCGUGACACUAAACCCUAAAUUUUGUUUUAUAUAGUUUGUAGAAUUAUUCUUCUUUCCUGGUCUUCAUUCCUAAGUCCUCACUGAAUGAUUUGGAUUAGGAUCAUGUGUGGAGCUUUUCGAUCUGUGAAUUGUUCAAAAAUGUUCAGGGCCGGGUGGGUUUUCAUAUUACUUUUUAUUAAGAACAAAAUUUAAAUCUAGGGAAGGUAUCAUGAGCAAAUUAACUAGUUUUUUUGUUUCCUUUACAAUUUUGUUUUUUUUGUAAAUUCAUUUUUUUGGAAUUAUCUGCUGAUAUUACAUCACCAGAGUAAUUUGUGCAAGGAUUGAAUAUCAAAAGUGGUUAUUACUUCGACUUUAUAAGAAGCACAUUCUUUCAGGAAAUUAAUUUAUUUGUUAUCAAAAUUGCAUUUUUUGUCAAACCCAUUAUUAUAUAAAGGCACAAGUGUGUUGAGGGAUCAACUCCACGUUUGUGCAUGUUUUUGGCAUGUGGCUUGUGCAUGUUAUGUAAAAAACAUAAAAGUUGCCGUAAUUGCUAACAUGAGGCCUAAGUUUAAUUUUUUUUUUUUCCAUUAGAAACUUUACAAACCCAUAAUUUGUUUUUAUGAACUUCAAUUCUUGAAAAUUAAUUGUGUCCUUGUAUUUGUGUUUACUCAUAGGAAGGUUGGUAUUAGAACUCCUUUUGUACUUGUAUUACAUGGAAACAUGCCAAUGACAAGUAAAAUGGUGAUUGUUUGGUCACUAUAUGAUCUACAUUUCUUUUAGGAAAUCAAUUUAUUUUGUGUCAAACUUGCAUUUCUCUUAUGCAACAAAAUGUGCUGAUGAUGACAGCAAAAGGCAUGAGCCACAAUAACAAUUUGCGCAUCAGGUUGAGUUUUGCCUGAGUUAUUGUCGGCAAGGAAGAAUGUGCCAUAAUGCUAAUCUGAGACGUAAGUUUAAAUUGAUUUUUUUUUUUAAUUAGAUACUCUACAAACCCAUCAUUUGUUUUACUGAACUUCAAUUCUUGAAAGGUAUUUAUUUCCUUGUAUCUAUGUUGACUCAUAUGAAGUUUGGUAUUAGAACUUCACUUGUACUUGUCUUGGGUAUAAACAUGCCAAUGAUGACGAUGAAGCACAGUAGCCACAAUAACAAUUUGUGCAUCAGGUUGAUUUCCACCUGAGUUAUUGUUGGUGAGGAUGAAUGUGCCAUAAUGCUAAUUUGAGGCAUGAGUUUUAUAUUUUAAACUAUUUAACUCUAUAAAUAUGUUUAGAUGAUGCCAACAAAGAGAAGUAACCAUAAUAGCACUUGUGUAUCAGGAUGAUUUUAGCUUGACUGGUUGUUGGCAAGGAUGUGAACUAAGUUUUGAAUUUGCAUUUUUAAAUGAUUUAGUUCUAUAAACCCUUACUUAUUUUGUUGAACUCUCGUUCUAGACCAUGAAAGAAGAUCUUGUGUUCUUUAUGUGUGUUUAACUACAACUGUUAUCAAUUAUCUCCAAAUUUUGCUGAUCACUUGGCAUCCUUUAUGGAAGUUAUUCUAAACAUCCAAAUGGUUUAGCUGAGAAUAGGACAGUUUGCAUUCAGAUAAGAAUGCAAGAAUCAUGUAGAUGUAUUCAGAUCAGUUGUAUUAGGGUUUGCAUUUGCCUCAACAUAAACCACAGGAAUCAAUGGGACUUUAAUGAAUUCAAAAUAGGUGGGAAUAUUACAUUUGAGGUUCUUAUCUGAGUAUGAUUUUUAUCUUCUAUGAUAUCUGAAGACUUUACUUUUGUCUCUCUACAUUGUUGCAUACGCAGGCCUUCUCCAGGUUCAACAUUAUAUAUUAAGUUUUUUUCUUGAGCUUUGAAUUUUAUAUUGUGAGAAGUAUCUCAAUCAAUUUCUGUGAAAUGUUAUGUAUUACCUCCUAUGUGCAAUUUCUAUUUAUGGAAUGGUGAAUAGAUGAAGUAAAUGGCGUUGUCUGCCCACUGAACUUCUUAGCCCUGGUGCACUCAAAAUUUCCCCUCGAAAUGAUUAUAAAUUAUUCUGCAUACACUCUCCUCAACAAUGUGAGAAAUUUUUUUAUUUUUAAAUUUGCAGCUCAAAAUAUCAGUUUGAUCGUCAAUUUGAAGGUUUAUGUCAGUGACGUGUCUCAUUGAAAGUAGUUAGAUAUUUUUGGUGGAGUGUCGUUUGCAUUAUCCAUUUCUAGUUAUAAACUCACAAAGGGAAGUUUGUCACGUCUUUUAUUUUUUUGACAAAUAUGUUUUAUCACAUGUUAUAUGCCCUGUAACUUCACUGACUUUUACUGGUCGAUUUGUGAGAUUAAUAUCUUACCCAUACCGUCAAAGUUUCAACAAAGUUUGACUUGUGGUUUAUAGAUGACACUUUGAACGGUUGUUGAAUGAAUUUCAAUCAGUGUUCAAUAUUAUGUUGUUGGGUACAUAAUGAUGACAUUGAUAACCAAAUGAAGAAACUGGAAAUUGAUUAGUAGUUGGUGACUCACAGCUGAAUGAUAGAUAAUACUUUGGCUAUAGCUUGAGACAUCGAUAAUUUGGAUUUCAUUGUUUGCAUCUUUCUGUGAUCGUCGGUAAUUUAGAGGAAGAGCGAGAGCAGGUAUGGGACCUCCAGGCGGACCUGGCGGCCCCGGUGGCCCUCCCGGGCCACCCGGUUGGGGGCCUGGGCCGGGAGGACCGCCGGGUUUCUGUUUUCCGUGCCAAUCUUGCUUGUACUUCCUGUGUUGCUGUUGUUUGUUCAGAGAAUGUUGUGGUCCUUUGUUUGGUGGUCCUCCAGGCCCUCCACCCUUUUAAAGUUGUGUUGUGUUAAUAAAUUACAAUAAUUUUUACAUGAAUUAUAAUGUUCAUGUAAUCUCAAUCUAUGUGUGUGUGCAUAUAUUUUGGUGAUUACAGUCACUACAUGUAUGAAAGUAUGAUGAUAAUUAUGUGAAAUUGUUGAACUGAAUAGUAGUUUUACUUUGAUUGAUAUGAGUUAUAAAAUUUACAUGAAAUAUAAUGUUCAUGUAAAGCUCAAUCUAUGUGUGUGUAUGCAUAUGUUUUGAUGAUUUCAGUCCUAUCCAUGUAUUAAGUAUGAUGUAAUGAAGACAUUGUUGAAUUGAAAGAGUCGUUAAUUUUGAUUGA